rnacentral:pre_miRNA from 1 species
CUCAGGGGGGCGGGGGUCCCUCAGCCCGGAUUGUGAGAGGGCACAGGCCAGGCUAAGGGACCCCACCGGUGCACA